rnacentral:lncRNA from 1 species
GAUCGAACCACCGGUCCCGUUACAGUACGGGAGAGCAAAGAAAGAUAUCGUGAUAGAGAGCCACGACGCGGUGUUCCAAGUGAAACAAGGGGAGAUGCUGUUCGGGUUCCAACCAUUUGCAACGAAAGACCCGAAAAUAUUCGAGAGAGCGGAGGAGUUUGUGGGGGAGAGGUUCAUGGGAGAGGAGGGGGAGAAGUUGUUGAAGCACGUGAUAUGGUCAAAUGGACCCGAGACUCAGCAACCGACGUUGGGGAACAAACAGUGUGCAGGGAAGGAUUUCGUGGUGUUGAUGUCGAGGCUUUUGGUGGUGGAAUUGUUUAGACGUUACGACUCGUUUGAUAUCGAAGUGGGUAAGUC